GACGAACGCUGGCGGCGUGCUUAACACAUGCAAGUCGAACGAUGAAACCUAGCUUGCUAGGUCGAUUAGUGGCGAACGGGUGAGUAACACGUGACUAACCUGCCCCUUUCUCUGGGAUAACGCUUCGAAAGGAGUGCUAAUACCGGAUACUCACAUCGAGGCACAUGCCUUGAUGUGGAAAGUUUUUCGGAAAGGGAUGGAGUCGCGGCCUAUCAGCUUGUUGGUGAGGUAACGGCUCACCAAGGCGACGACGGGUAGCCGGCCUGAGAGGGCGACCGGCCACACUGGGACUGAGACACGGCCCAGACUCCGACGGGAGGCAGCAGUGGGGAAUAUUGCACAAUGGGCGCAAGCCUGAUGCAGCGACGCCGCGUGAGGGAUGAAGGUCUUCGGAUUGUAAACCUCUUUCAGUAGGGACGAAGCGAAAGUGACGGUACCUAAAGAAGAAGCACCGGCUAACUACGUGCCAGCCGCCGCCGUAA
rnacentral:rRNA from 1 species